GAGGCUGAGGGAGCAUCAAAGCCAAGAGAUGGGCAACAGAGAUGAGAUGUGCUCCCAGAAUGUCACAGCAUGCAGCAGAACCAAGGCUGCUCUCCUAAUGGAUUAUGUACCUCCUCUGAAAAUUCCUUCUAUGAAUCACAAUGCUUUGAAUCAUCAGGUCAGGAUUUCAGUUACUUUUGCAUAUUUCCAUGGCUCUCCCUACAGCUUUUCAGGUGGACUGUGCCUUCAGCUUCAAAGAAAGGCAAUUUCACCCCCAGUUGUGCUCAGCUGGAACUAGUACAUUUGCAAUUUACUAUCAUUUGACAUAUAGAGGUUGAAAGCAAAGGAAAUAUUGGAAAACGGUUAAAGUAUUCAUAGAUUGUACAUGGAAAUACACUUUCCUUCUUUGCUUGGCGAA